UCCCUGAUAGCUCAGUUGGUAAAGAGUCUGCCUGGAAUGCAGGAGACUCCGGUUCGAUUCCUGGGUCGGGAA
rnacentral:tRNA from 1 species